GGGAGCUACCACCUCAAGGUAUCUCGUUUACACCGAGAGGGUCGGGGGUUCGAGUCCCUCAGCGCCUA
rnacentral:tRNA from 1 species